rnacentral:piRNA from 1 species
UCUUGUUGCAGGAAAACAAGCUCAGGGC